CUGGGUGUUAAAAGUGCUGUUUGUGCAGGUAGCUGAAACGUCUACUGCAGAGGCAGCACUUCUAAACACACGGC
rnacentral:pre_miRNA from 17 species